AGAUUCCACUCUCAAAAUGUCAGGCGUUGACUUUUCUAGCCCCACAAUCGACUUUUCCCAAACUGUUUGAUUCCCGAUUCCAGUGAUCAAUUGAAGCACUUCUGGCUUAAAUAAAAAGCUGAUUUUUUGUAUGUAGACCCUUGUGGACAUAUGGAGGGCCAUGGAAAAGAGUUUCGACCAAAGAAUCAGAAAUAAACUGAUUUUAUACCAAACCCUAAUUUAGGGCAAAAUUGAUCAAGAACUGAUUGCA
rnacentral:lncRNA from 1 species